CCUUGUCUCUAAACUGAAAGGUGAUCAGACCUGCUCCCUUGUCUCUAAACUGAAAGGUGAUCAGACCUGCUGCCCUUGUCUCUAAACUGAAAGGUGAUCAGACAUGCUGCCCUUGUCUCUAAACUGAAAGGUGAUCUGACCUGCUGCCCUUGUCUCUAAACUCAAAGGUGAUCAGACAUGCUGCCCUUGUCUCUAAACUGAAAGGUGAUCUGACCUGCUGCCCUUGUCUCUAAACUGAAAGGUGAUCUGACCUGCUGCCCUUGUCUCUAAACUGAAAGGUGAUCAGACCUGCUGCCCUUGUCUCUAAACUGAAAGGUGAUCCGACCUGCUCAUGGUGAAGCCAUCGUCCAGCUGACAGACCGGUAUAAUGUGUGGAUCAGCAUCUAGAUAUAUAUAUUCUCUGUUCUUAAUGCCGCGUCGGAACACUGAGGGAGGUCUCAGGUCCGCUUUUCAGUCUGUCCAAUGGGCAUAGAGAACGCAUACUGUACAUGAUAGAGAUGGCUCAUCCUCUAACGUGAUAUUGAGGGUGAGCUGACGAUAUAAAGCGCGUCGGGAAUAGACAUUUUUCAGGGAUGAUCACCUUUUUAAUUCAGCAAGUGUUUCUUGAAGGUCAAUUCCACUCCCAAAAUUAUAUUUUGUUGUAUUUGUUUCAUUAGUCCACUGUUGAUACAGUCCCCCAAAAAAUGUUUUGCAGUGCAGCAAUCAAGUUUUCAAGAUGUAGAACUUUGAAAACGCUAAUUGUCACUUGCCACCGUCAAUCAGCCUACUGUAUAAUUACACUGAAAUAUUUAGUAUUUAUGCAAAAGUUUAACUUGAACAUAAUGUCACAUGCUUCAUAAAUAACAGGGGUAGAUUUAAGUAAGCAUUUCACUGUCGGUCUACACCUAAUUGUUUACAAAAGCAUGUGACCAAUAACAUUUUAGAUUUUGAACCCUACAGCCAUCUGGUUACAGAUGAUCUCUUUUGCGUGUUCAUGGUUGAUGUCAAAUGUAGAGAGAGAAGGACUUUUGUUUCAUUUUUACGGUGUACUUUCGAUGUGACCAGCAGAGCGUGCCAGUGUUAGUCAGGAUCGUCUUUAUUGGUGACAACGGCACAACUUUUAUACACACCAUAUCGAUCUGUAGUCUUUGCCUUGAACGUUUCGAAGAACAGUCACCAACCAACAUACACUUGAUACAUGUAAAUAAAAGUAGCCAUAUACUGUA